GUUGUUUAUGGUAAUUCAACUUCUGCCUCUGAGAGACUCGGCUGUGUCAUUUAGCUAAGAAGCGGGGCUGAAUCCUGCCAUUGCAUAUGGAUAUGGAUAUGGCGCAGCAUUUAAAAAAAAUUUUUUUUAAAAUGAAAUAGAUAUAUUUUUCAGGUUUAUACAUUACAUUAAUUUUACAAUCAUUUUAACAUGUCAAAACUUGACUUCCUUCCUCCUCUUUCUGUGGUUCCUUAAAUUUAUUUUUUAAUAUCUUCUGCAUAUCCAAAUUCAUUUAAUUUGCUCAUUUAUUCAUCUACUUUAAAUAUAUAUUCUAAAACUGCAGGUUAUUACAAUGUUUUUAUCUGUUUGCAAUUUAUCCGUAAAAAUUCCAUUCUUUUAUAAAAAGUUUGUUAUCUUGAUUUCUUAUUCUUCCAGUAAGUUUUGCCAUUUCUGCAUAUUCCAUAAGUACAAAUUAAAUAGUUCUGUCCCUAUAAUUCCCAGAAGGGAUAUAAGGGAGCAGAUGGUCUUUGAGGUAUCCUGGACCCCAAUUGUUAAGGGUCUUGUGAAUUAAUUGUAUUUUAAAUUGUUGUGACCCACCCUGGAACCUUACGGUGAAGGCCAAGUAAUAAAUUAUUGUUAUAACGCGUGUGGCUAUAAACAAAAACAUAGAACUCCCCACAUGUUAUAAGACAUUUUGGUUAAACUGUUGCCUUCUGCACAAAUAGUUAUUUGCGAUAAGAACUUAAUGUUAUGAGGCCGCAGUUACGUACAUUUUUCCUGCGGGUACACAAGGGUAUGCAUAUCCUUAAACAUUUUGUGAAUCUUUUUAAUUUUGUCCAUUUACUGUAUUUACUUUUCCAGAUUUGAACUAUAAAAUGGUGAUUUUCUUGAGCCAAACUGAGAGUACCCCCUAAACAAUUUUUUAAAGAAAAAAAAGCACUGGUUGUGUAUGUAUUGCCAUCUGGGUUAGGGUGGGACAUUUCAUAUUUUUAUCUGUAUAAUGUAAUAUGCUGAAAUGAUUUAAUAUAAAUAUAAAUUAACAUUAAUAAUAAUUAAUAAUCUUUUAAUUAAAAAAGUGUUUCUGCCCCCAAACAGCGUUACAUUGGUCACAACAAAUUGCGCUCCGAAUGUGCUGCCAUCUGCCAUUUCGCCAGCUGCUGGGAACUUGACUGAAUAGAAAGUGAACUUUUUGUCCACUUCAAAUAAAUCAGAGUAGAUUCAUUGCAGGACUGAUCAAUUAAAUGUGUAUGCAUUUUGAUAUAAAUUAAA